rnacentral:lncRNA from 1 species
GUGAGAGGGUGGGCAGCUCAAAUGUUCCUGGUGAAGCAGCCCCCUCGUCCGCCGGUCCACUCCGGGAAAAUACUCCUUUUAUUGCUUCCCCCUUGUUAGCACGGCCGGUCAGGAGUGCUCGUCAGUGGAAACGGUGCACUUGCCAGCUUCUUCCUUUGAGUCAUUUUCAAGAUGAGAGUUUGAAACAGAAUUUUUCUGAACCACUAAUGAUCACUGAGGCCUCCUGGAAACAGGACGCUUUCCUUUCUCCUCUAGGACUUGAUGCGGAGGGGAAAUGGACAGGCUCAAGCCCAGUGUGGUCUGGGGCCAGCGAUGGAGCAGGCUUUCUCAAAGACAGCAGAGUGUUUGGGUCUCACAGUUGAUUCCCUUCCUCUGGUUGGUGCCCCACAGAGUUUUAGGUUCAAGUUACACCGAGCGCCGUAUGCACAGGACCCAGUGUGGCAGAGGAGACCGUGUGCACGGAAGAGCCUCAGUCCCUCCCAUCCUGCCCCUGAAUUCGCUCCGUCUGUGUCUCCCCCGCAGGGGGCUCGCUGACCAAGCUGGCCUACUACUCCACCGUGCAGCACAAAGUUGCCAGAGUGCGGUCCUUCGACUACUCAGGCAAGGACACAGAGCAAGACCACGAGCCCCCCUACGAGAUCUCCGUCCAGGAGGAGGUCACUGCCAGACUGCACUUUGUCAAGUUCGAGAACACCUACAUAGAAGCCUGCUUGGACUUCAUCAAAGACCACCUCGUCAACACGGAGACGAAGGUCAUCCAGGCGACCGGGGGCGGGGCCUACAAGUUCAAGGAUCUCAUCGAAGAGAAGCUGCGGCUGAGAGUGGACAAGGAGGACGUGAUGACGUGUUUGAUUAAAGGCUGCAACUUCGUGCUGAAGAACAUCCCACACGAGGCCUUCGUGUAUCAGAAAGAUUCCGACCCCGAGUUUCGAUUCCAGACCAAUCACCCCAACAUUUUCCCGUACCUGCUGGUCAACAUCGGUUCUGGAGUCUCGAUUGUGAAGGUGAGGUGCACCUCGCAGGGCCCUGCGUGGUUGCCGGGUAGGGAUCACCAGGGUACCUGCCGUCUGU